GAUGAACGCUGGCGGCGUGCUUAACACAUGCAAGUCGAACGAAGCAUUUAAGACAGAUUACUUCGGUUUGAAGUCUUUUAUGACUGAGUGGCGGACGGGUGAGUAACGCGUGGGUAACCUGCCUCAUACAGGGGGAUAGCAGCAGGAAACGGCUGGUAAUACCGCAUAAGCGCACAGUACCACAUGGUACAGUGUGAAAAACUCCGGUGGUAUGAGAUGGACCCGCGUCUGAUUAGCUUGUUGGCGGGGUAACGGCCCACCAAGGCGACGAUCAGUAGCCGAGCUGAGAGGGUGACCGGCCACAUUGGGACUGAGACACGGCCCAGACUCCUACGGGAAGCAGCAGUGGGGAAUAUUGCACAAUGGAGGAAACUCUGAUGCAGCGACGCCGCGUGAGUGAAGAAGUAGUUCGCUAUGUAAAGCUCUAUCAGCAGGGAAGAUAGUGACGGUACCUGACUAAGAAGCUCCGGCUAAAUACGUG
rnacentral:rRNA from 1 species